rnacentral:lncRNA from 1 species
AGUGAUUCAGAAUCGUCUGAGUUUGCUAAUCAAAUUCAAUCUUUCCAGACUAUGCAGAGGGACUUGCUCCUGGUACGUUUUGUUACUUUGACUCGUGAAUCCUUUUGUAAAACCUCCACUGACCAUGUUUUUGCUUCCAUUAGGCCCACUUACUUCGCCUUGCUUGUGCUUUGCCAGAAAUUACAUCAGAGCUCCUCAAUCUGGGGGUGUGUAUUUUCUUGCAUCUUAUAUAUGUAAUAAUAUAUUUGUUUGCCCCCACUUCUUAUAAGUUUUUUCUUUUCCAGAUUGUUUCAGAAGAUGUGCGAGAUAUGGCUAUCAAACCAUCAUCAUCUUUUGACAAGAAUUUUGAUCGUGUGUUUGGGA